rnacentral:rRNA from 1 species
CAGCAGCCGCGGGAAUACGUAGGGUGCAAGCGUUAAUCAGAAUUACUGGGCGUAAAGCGUGCGCAGGCGGUUUGUUAAGACGGAUGUGAAAUCCCCGGGCUCAACCUGGGAACUGCAUUCGUGACUGGCAAGCUAGAGUAUGGCAGAGGGGGGUGGAAUUCCACGUGUAGCAGUGAAAUGCGUAGAGAUGUGGAGGAACACCGAUGGCGAAGGCAGCCCCCUGGGCCAAUACUGACGCUCAUGCACGAAAGCGUGGGGAGCAAACAGGAUUAGAUACCCCUGUAGUCCCUGUCUCUUAUAC